UACGGAGGGUGCAAGCGUUAUCCGGAUUUACUGGGUUAAAGGGUGUGUAGGCGAAUUUUUAAGUCAGAGGUGAAAUCUCCAGGCUCAACCUGGAAACUGCCCCUGAUACUACUUAGUCUUGAAUAUUGAUGAGGUGGGCGGAACGGGUCAUGUAGCGGUGAAAUGCUUAGAGAUGACCCGGAACACCAAUUGCGAAGGGCGACUCACUGGGCAAUUAUUGACGCUGAGGCACG
rnacentral:rRNA from 1 species